rnacentral:rRNA from 1 species
UAUUUUUAAUUAUUUUAUAUAAAGCUUAUGUUCUAAGUAAAAUUAUGCAUAACAAACAAAGGUAUAAAAAUACCAUUUUUUCAGAUAAUAUUUAAUUAUAAAUAAUAAAUUUAGAAUACUUCUUUUAAAUGAUGAGAGUCUAGAAAUUUUUAUGUGUAUUCUUUAAAUAAAAAUUUCCAGACUCUAGCCCCUUUUUGAAUAUUUUAAAAUUUAACUUAAACUAAGCAAAUUCUAUAAUAGCUUAUCUCUAAAUAUUUAAAUUUAAUUUAUCAUACAAUAUUACUUAUUAUAAAACUUAAAACAUAUAAAAAUAUAUUUUAAAGCAAUAAUUUUAUUUUACUUAUUAAAUAUUUGGAGUUAUUAAAAUCUUUUCUAUCUAAAAAAUAUUGAUAUUAAAUAUCUAAUAAGAAAAUUUAAUAAGAAAAAUAUAGAUUAUAUCAAAAAAAUAUUCUAUUAUAAUCUUUAGAACAAACAGUAGUAAAUGUUAUCUUCAUAAACAAAUUUAUUUUUCACAAGUACAAUACUUAUUUAAAAAAGGAGGUUUAAUAUGUUAAGUAAAAAAAAUGUAAGUUUAAUUAUUUUAGUAAUAAUUUUAAGUUUAUUAACUGCUAUAUUUAUUUUCAAUAAUAAAAAUACUAACAAUAAAUUGAAAGAAGUUACUAAGAAUAAUGAAGAAAUAGUACCUAAAAACUUAGAAGGUUUAAGUAUAGAACAAUUAAUAGAGAUUAGAGAUAAAGCCAUUGAUAAAAAUUUAGAAGGUCUUAGGGAAUUUGGAGAAGAUUCAGUAAAAAAACGUAAAGAUUCAAUUUUAAACUUUGAAUUUGGAUUAGUAGCUUUUGUUAACAAGAAUUAUAGCAACUUAACAGAAAAAGAGAAAUUAAUAAGACAAAUUAAUAUUGUUAACUAUGAAAACUCUAUAAAUGAUAUAAUGGAUCCUUCAGGUUCAUUCUUUGAAUUAGCAAAUCAGAAUUACCAAGUGAAUGAGUUUCUGUUAAAAAACGGAAAAGAUUAUAAAGAAUGGUCAUAUGAAGGUCUAGAUUUUCUAAUUGAUCAUCUAGAAGAACUGUGCAAAUUUGUUGAUUUUGAUGUAAAAGAUGUAAUAGAUAUUAUUGAUCCUACAAUAAAAACAGACCUUUCAGAGGAACAAAAGAAAUCUUUGAAUGAUAAAUUAAAGAAAAUAUCUUCAAGUGAUACUUUAAGUGAAGAAGUUAAAAAGGAGAUAAAAAACUGGGAAAACAAUUUAAAUAAUUUAAAUAUGAAUAAAAAUAAUUCUAAUUAAUUUUCUCAUAAGAAAAAUGCUUAUAUCGUGAUAAUGUGAAAUGUACAUAAUUAUAAACAAAAAAGGGGCUGUGACACUAAAAAAUAGUGCUACGCCCUUUUUUAUUUGUAAUAAUCAUCAAUACAAAUUAUUUUAUUAUAUGUAAUUAUUUAUGUCUUAACCAAUUUUAUCGAAAAUAACAGUCUUCUCUUUUAAAGAGAUUUUUCCUACUUGAUAUCCAUAUUCAUUUAAUUCCUUUUUAUAUUUCAAAAACGAAUGGUCUAUCUCUAUCCCAGCAAUAUCUUUUAUUUCUUCAAAAGUUAAUUUAAACGAUUGACUAUUGUUUUUCUUAACAUAUUCCCAUAAAGAACUAUAUUUACUCAUCUUAUAUCACUCCUUUUAAAAUCAUAUCUUAUCUAUUAAUUUAUAUUCUAUCAUUAUUAAUGUAUAAAGUCAUGCUACUUAUUAUUUAUAUAUAAAAAUAUCCAAAUAAUAAGUAGCAAUUUUUUAUAGUCAUAAUAUUUUUUCAGAUUAAAUAAAAAUCAAUUAUAGUUAAAAUAUUUUUAAAAGAAAUCUAUCCCAUUAUAAAGUAAAUUUUAAUUAUCUUAUUUCUAGUAUGUAAUUAUUCAAAAUAGUAUAUCAUUAUUGAAAUACACAUCUAAUAACUAAAAAUUUUUACAUAUUCAUUAUUUAAAAAUCUUUUUAUUGCAUUUAAAUUAAAUCUAUCAAUAUUUCAGUAAUAACGUUUUCUUAAUUUUCACUAUGGAUGUCGAUUCAAUUAUAAUUAAAGCUCUACAUCAAUCUUUUUACCACUCAUUGAACAACAACUAACUUUUGCCUUAUC